AGCGAACGCUGGCGGCAGGCUUAACACAUGCAAGUCGAGCGGGCACUUUCGGGUGUCAGCGGCGGACGGGUGAGUAACGCGUGGGAACGUGCCCUCUGGUUCGGAAUAACUCAGGGAAACUUGAGCUAAUACCGGAUACGCCCUUUUGGGGAAAGGCUUGCUGCCGGAGGAUCGGCCCGCGUCUGAUUAGCUAGUUGGUGAGGUAACGGCUCACCAAGGCGACGAUCAGUAGCUGGUCUGAGAGGAUGAUCAGCCACACUGGGACUGAGACACGGCCCAGACUCCUACGGGAGGCAGCAGUGGGGAAUAUUGGACAAUGGGCGUAAGCCUGAUCCAGCCAUGCCGCGUGAGUGAUGAAGGCCUUAGGGUUGUAAAGCUCUUUUAUCCGGGACGAUAAUGACGGUACCGGAGGAAUAAGCCCCGGCUAACUUCGUG
rnacentral:rRNA from 1 species